rnacentral:rRNA from 1 species
GACGAACGCUGGCGGCGUGCUUAACACAUGCAAGUCGAACGGAAGGCCCUGCUUUUGUGGGGUGCUCGAGUGGCGAACGGGGGAGUAACACGUGAGUAACCUGCCCUUGACUUUGGGGUAACUUCAGGAAACUGGGGCUAAUACCGGAUAGGAGCUCCUGCUGCAUGGUGGGGGUUGGAAAGUUUCGGCGGUUGGGGAUGGACUCGCGGCUUAUCAGCUUGUUGGUGGGGUAGUGGCUUACCAAGGCUUUGACGGGUAGCCGGCCUGAGAGGGUGACCGGCCACAUUGGGACUGAGAUACGGCCCAGACUCCUACGGGAGGCAGCAGUGGGGAAUAUUGCACAAUGGGCGGAAGCCUGAUGCAGCAACGCCGCGUGCGGGAUGACGGCCUUCGGGUUGUAAACCGCUUUCGCCUGUGACGAAGCGUGAGUGACGGUAAUGGGUAAAGAAGCACCGGCUAACUACGUG